CAGGCGCGGAGCCAUUCCGUGAGCGCAGGCGCAGAGCCCGGCGCCCCGCCCCGCGGCCGGACUACAGCUCCCGGCAUGCUCCGGGCGCGCAGGCGCAGGGCUGUGGCUCGCGGUGGACGGAGUUGGUGGCUGCCGCCGCCCGGAUCUGGUGAAGAAUAAGGCUUGGUUUUAAAGUGUUUGAGCAACCUGCUGCUGCUGGAGUCAUGACACUCCCAUUUCGAAAGGACUUGGACAAGUACAAAGAUCUUGAUGAGGAUGAAAUUCUUGGCAAACUGUCGGAAGAAGAACUGAAACAACUGGAAACUGUUUUGGAUGAUCUUGACCCUGAGAAUGCAUUGCUGCCUGCAGGCUUCCGACAGAAAGACCAGACUGCUAAAAAGGCUUCAGGUCCCUUCGACAGGGAACGGCUCCUGGCAUACUUAGAGAAGCAGGCUCUUGAGCACAAAGACAGGGAAGACUAUGUGCCUUUUACAAAAGAAAAGAAAGGGAAAAUAUUUAUCCCCAAGCAGAAGCCUGUACAGUCUUAUGCAGAAGAAAAAUUCACUCUUGAUCCAGAACUGGAGGAAGCCUUGACCAGUGCCACAGACACAGAAUUAGGUGACCUUGCAGCUAUACUGGGAAUGUCUCACUUGAUAACAAACUAUGAGCUCUGUGAUGUAGUAGGAAGCCGUAAUGGGGUUGACAAAGACAGCUUCUCAGAUAUAGUAAAAGGUGAAAAAAUGUUGCCUGUUUUUGAUGAGCCACCAAAUCCCACAAAUGUAGAAGAGACACUGCAAAGGAUUAAAGAUAAUGAUUCUCGUCUUGUUGAAGUUAACCUAAAUAACAUUAAGAACAUACCAAUUCCAACACUGAAAGAAUUUGCAAAAGCCUUAGAAACCAACAUGCAUGUGAAGCAUUUCAGCCUUGCAGCCACCCGAAGCAAUGAUCCUGUUGCUGUUGCUCUUGCAGAUAUGCUGAGAGUAAACACAAAACUAAGAAGUUUAAACAUAGAAUCAAACUUCAUCACUGGAGUUGGAAUUUUGGCACUGGUCGAUGCACUGAAAGACAAUGAAACAUUGACAGAGAUCAAAAUUGAUAAUCAAAGGCAGCAGCUGGGCACAAUUGCAGAAGUAGAAAUUGCCAAGAUGCUUGAAGAAAACACGAAGAUCCUCAAAUUUGGAUACCAUUUCACACAACAGGGACCUCGAGCCAGGGCAGCUGCAGCUAUCACAAAAAAUAAUGAUUUGGUCUGGAGUAUGCGAGUAAAAGUUUCUGCAAAUACCCUUUCAUCUCUCCAGCCCUGAAGCUCCAGAGGCAGUUACGCUGAAUACCCAGUUGGGUACUGAGCACUGAAAACUGGGAUGUUCAAAGUAUCUCAUUUCUGUCUUUUUCGCAAGAGGAGGGUUGAAGGAGAUAUCUAGCAGAUCUUCUUGUCAGAACUGUGUGGAGCUUUCAAGGGUCGUCCAGGCAUGGUCAUCACUCUGGGCUUCGGCAAUGUUGGACUACAUUUACCUGGCUUAGAAGGGAAAAGACUGGAAACCCCAUUCCUUUUAAAGCAAAGCUAUAUGAAUAAUCUGCUGGUAUACAUCAUGUUUUUCAGAUUGAGACACGGUAACUGCACCAGUUCCUGUACCACAGUCUUUGAUUGGGUUUUUUUAAGAACUUUUUGUAUUUCAAGACUUUGGCUGUACUUUCUGCUAAAAAUGUAAUUGCAAAUCAAUGUUAUAAUUGUCUGUAGUUAAAGAAUGGCACAUUCAGAGUCACUGGUCAGAUAAUGACCCAAUUGAAAUGUUUGUUAGAAAAUCUGGGGGUGCUUAUUUACGUGGAGGGGUGUGUAUAUUCUUGGAAACAAUGCAUUAGUGAUAAGGGGUUCUUCACACAACAGUCUCAUUGUGUAGAGCUAUUCAGCCUUGUUCAUGCACUGAAGAGAAAUCUUUCACAGCUAUCUCAGUUGUAAUUCUACUUUUAGUCACUUACUGUGACUAAUUAAAGACAUCGCUUUAAACCUAACAAAAAUAAAUUUGCAAAGGACUUUUUCCAAGAUAUUUGAGAGACUAAUAAAAAAGUGGAAGCCUUGAAAAAAUAAUAAAAACCAGUAAGUGCCUUCCAAAAUAAGUUUUUCUAUUACACCUAAACCCUGAAAGUCUUUUUCAAGAGAUCCCAUGACUGUAUCUUGCUCUGUAUCUGAACUGGGCAUAGUUUUAGAUCGAUUUCAUGUGUUCAUCAGCAUUUAGUUUAUAUUCCUUGUUUAAAAAUCUUUAUCUACAUUCAUAAGUAUCAAUUUCUCUAGAAGUAGUGGACAUGUGGUGUUUUGUUUUUUUUAAUUUUGUACAGAAAAAAAUCCCCUGACUGUAAAACCACUGCUCCAAUUCACUGGCAAAUGGAAAAAUCCUUUUUUAAAAGCUGCUGCAUUAAGCUGUCAGUACUUCAUAUAAAUCUGUCAUUUUUGUAAUAAAAUAAUGAAGUAACACUUUUAAGAAAGGAUUUUUCUAUUCUACUUAUGUCUUGAUGUUGAAACACUACAUAAGACAUGCAGAAAUUAACCAAUAUACAGUGUCAACUCAGUAUGAUGUAUUUAAAGUUCUGUAUUUAAGCAAAUUAAUAAGGCAACAAGAAUCACUUCAACUUCUGUACAUAAUCACAGUAGCCUGAUAUAAUAUGAAAACCUAGAGGCUUUUUGGCGCAGGUCAGUUUGUCCUGUACUAGUUUGCUCACUGUUGUCAUGAGAUCACCAAAAUGUUCUUUAGAACUGCUCAGCAAUCUUUCUAGUGACAGAAAAUUCAACUGACAACCAUUUUCAUCAGAGGAUUGUAACACGAUGAGCAUUUAACGUAUAGAAGACAUUGGCCUGAGAUUUUUGCAUCAGGUUGUAUAGACUAUAAAAAUUUAACAGAGCAACUCCCUGACACUCUACCUACCUUGUCAUUUGCUGCAAAUCUCAUUUUGGAUCUUUAAAGACAAACUUUACUCCAGAGGCGACUUCAAAUUUUACUGCAACUGUACUGAGAAUUUUAAACCAUAGUGCCUUUAGUGAGGAUGUAUAUAACUGGUUUAUACUUGUGGAAAAACAGUUUUCCUAUUUCAAAAUCAGCCUCUUGUUAUACAUAAAUGUGUGCUCUGAAAAGCAAGUCAGUAUUAAUUCUGUUAAAACCAAAGGCAAUCUGUAACUUCGAAACAAUCAAACUAUCUGACUCAUAACAGAAAGGGCUUCUUUUGGUUUUGGCUUUGUAAAUUUUCAAUAACUGUUUAGAUUCUGAAAUUCAAGUUCUUAUAUAGUAUACAUAAAGUCACAAAUUAAGUGUCUUUUUACAGGCAGUGCUGUAUAAACAUGGCCAAAGCAUGUCAUGUGCCAACUUGCCUAAAGCUGUGCUACUUACGUGCUAGGCACCAUAAUCAUUUUGUGUCAAAAAACAGACUGUAGUAUCUUCCUUCGUUUGUUGAAGGGCUGCAUGGUCGUGGAAUCUGUUCAUGUGUUGUGAUUCUAUGAUGAUUUAUU